rnacentral:rRNA from 1 species
ACAGAGGGUGCGAGCGUUGUCCGGAAUUACUGGGCGUAAAGGGCGCGUAGGCGGCCCGAUAAGUCGGGGGUGAAAGUCAGCGGCUCAACCGCUGGACUGCCUUCGAGACUGUUAGGCUUGAGCAUGGUAGAGGCUGGCGGAAUUCCCGGUGUAGCGGUGGAAUGCGUAGAGAUCGGGAAGAACAUCGGUGGCGAAGGCGGCCAGCUGGGCCAUUGCUGACGCUGAGGCGCGACAGCGUGGGGAGCAAACAGGA